rnacentral:rRNA from 1 species
UGAACGCUGGCGGUAUGCUUAACACAUGCAAGUCGAACGGAAACGAUACUAGCUUGCUAGUAGGCGUCGAGUGGCGGACGGGUGAGUAACGCGUAGGAAUCUGCCUGAUAGUGGGGGAUAGCCCGAAGAAAUUCGGAUUAAUACCGCAUAAUCUAUUCGUAGUAAAGUGGGGGACUUUCGAGCCUCACGCUAUCAGAUGAGCCUGCGUAAGAUUAGCUUGUUGGUAGGGUAAAAGCCUACCAAGGCGACGAUCUUUAGCUGGUCUGAGAGGAUGAUCAGCCACAUCGGGACUGAGACACGGCCCGAACUCCUACGGGAGGCAGCAGUGGGGAAUAUUGGACAAUGGGGGCAACCCUGAUCCAGCAAUACCGCGUGUGUGAAGAAGGCCUGAGGGUUGUAAAGCACUUUCAAUUGUGAAGAAAAGUUAGCGGUUAAUAACCGUUAGCCUUGACGUUAACUUUAGAAGAAGCACCGGCUAACUCCGUGCCAGCAGCCGCGGUAAUACGGAGGGUGCAAGCGUUAAUCGGAAUUACUGGGCGUAAAGCGUGCGUAGGCGGUUUAUUAAGUCAGAUGUGAAAGCCCCGGGCUUAACCUGGGAACUGCAUUUGAAACUGGUCAACUAGAGUAUGGUAGAGGAAAGUGGAAUUUCUGGUGUAGCGGUGAAAUGCGUAGAUAUCAGAAAGGAACAUCAAUGGCGAAGGCAGCUUUCUGGACCAAUACUGACGCUGAGGUACGAAAGCGUGGGUAGCAAACAGGAUUAGAUACCCUGGUAGUCCACGCCGUAAACGAUGAUAACUAGCCGUUGGGGGGAUUUACCCUUUAGUGGCGAAGCUAACGCGUUAAGUUAUCCGCCUGGGGAGUACGGCCGCAAGGUUAAAACUCAAAGGAAUUGACGGGGACCCGCACAAGCGGUGGAGCAUGUGGUUUAAUUCGAUGCAACGCGAAGAACCUUACCUGGUCUUGACAUCCUGCGAACUUUCUAGAAAUAGAUUGGUGCCUUCGGGAACGCAGUGACAGGUGCUGCAUGGCUGUCGUCAGCUCGUGUCGUGAGAUGUUGGGUUAAGUCCCGUAACGAGCGCAACCCCUAUCCUUAUUUGCCAGCACAUCAUGGUGGGAACUAUAAGGAGACUGCCGGUGAUAAACCGGAGGAAGGCGGGGACGACGUCAAGUCAUCAUGGCCCUUACGACCAGGGCUACACACGUGCUACAAUGGGAAGGACAAAGAGCCGCGAAGCCGCGAGGUGUAGCUAAUCUCAUAAACCUUUUCGUAGUCCGGAUUGGAGUCUGCAACUCGACUCCAUGAAGUCGGAAUCGCUAGUAAUCGUAGAUCAGAAUGCUACGGUGAAUACGUUCCCGGGUCUUGUACACACCGC